GUCAGCCCGCUCCCGAGCGUGUCCUCAGCGCUGUGAACAAUGGAGCCAUCAAAAAGGCCUUCUCCCAGCCUCCUCACCAACCACGGACAUUCCUGGCCCAACAAGCCCUCCUGGCCAGGUUUUGAGCCCUGCUUCCCAGAUCUGGGGACCCUUCACCUGCCUCUACUACUGCAAAUGAUUGGAUAUUCGUCUGCCUUGGCUCUUCCCUAAUGUGUGGAACUAAUUUUGUUCACUCUGUUUCAUGCUGGACCUGGCCUGAAAAUGGGCCCUUAUAUUGUCUUUGCACUUUCCAACUUGCCAAGUUUCUGAAAGAAGGACCAAAGUAAUGCCAAGAACUCCCAGAUGAAGAGGACCUUCCUUAGACCUAUAACAGAUUCACUACUUGACUUUAGAGGGAAGUUUCAGCUAAUUCUCAGGAAAAGGUCAAAACAGGCCUGUGACUGUCCCUUGAAUACUGAAGGUAUAAACAAGCUUCUGGCUCCUCCAGGUCAAGCAGAGGAACACUUUUAUUAGAAUGAAGGGUUACUUCUUUGUUAUUCAAACACACACCCACACACAUCCUCUGUAGUCUCCCUAAUGAAAAACCUCAACAGAUGGAGAGCCUGAGCU
rnacentral:antisense_RNA from 1 species